rnacentral:rRNA from 1 species
UGGUGCAUGGUUGUCGUCAGCUCGUGUCGUGAGAUGUUGGGUUAAGUCCGCUAACGAGCGCAACCCUCGCUGUGUGUUACAAGUGUCACACGGAACUGCCGGUCAUAAACCGGAGGAAGGUGGGAUGACGUCAAGUCAGCAUGGCCUUUAUAUCCUGGGCUACACACACGCUACAAUGGGAAGGGACAAUAGGUUGCGAAGCCGCGAGGCGGAGCCAAUCCAGCAAAACUUCCCUCAGUUCAGAUUGCAGGCUGCAACCCGCCUGCAUGAAGUUGGAGUUGCUAGUAAACGCAGGUCAGCCAUACUGCGUUGAAUACGUUCCCGGGGCUU